CGCCUGGGACGCGACUGACAACUUUUGCAGGUUUGGUUUGAAUUUCAAAUCUCUUUAACUUUAUCUCUAACGGCUAUAUUUGCUUUUUGGGCUAUAAAAGGGAGCUCUUAAGUGCUUUCCAACAACUUCUCAAAAACCCAACACAAGAUCAUUCAAGAGAGAAGAAAGAAAAAGAGGUUCAAGAGAGUUAGUGCAUUCAAGUGAAGAAAUCAAGUGCCUUCAAGCUUUCCAAGUGAUUUCGUGCUCAACUACUUUCUUCCGCUAGGCAUUCAAAGCUCACAUUCAAGCCAACGCGAUCCACAUCGGAAGAACCACCAUUUCCCACGCUUCCAACGGCUAAAAGGGUUCUUCCGGGUUUCAUUGUUUAUCAUUGUUAUAUUUGCUUAUUUAGAGCUUUCAAAUUUUUUGUAAAACUUUUUCAAUAUUGUGCUUGUUCCAGUCAAGGGACUUGGAACAAGGGAAAGGCGUCCCAAGCCUAGGUGAAAUUGGGGGUUUUAGGGUUCGUUGUUAGCCCGGUGUAAAACAACGAGUUGGGUAGUGCACUCGCAAAACUACCGUACUGUAAUCUUGGAUUAUAGUGGAAAUUCCCAAAGGUGCUUUGGGGAGUGGAUGUAGGAGCAGUGGAAGCUCCGAACCACUAAAAAAGCUGGUGUUUGCGAUUGUCUGUUUUCAUACCUUUAUUUUUACUUUAGCUCAUACAUUUGUGUGUUUUAUUAGACAAAAAGUUUUAAAACACCCAAUUCACCCCCCUCUUGGGUGACCAUCUCUGGGCAACA
rnacentral:lncRNA from 1 species